rnacentral:lncRNA from 1 species
AACGAUUACAUGGACUAAUGGACAAACAAAAAUGAGCUCAAGCGAAUACAAAAAAAGGAAUCAAUAUCUGUUGUAAAAAUAGCAAUGUUUUAUUCCCUUGUCUCAAAAGAAUAAGUCAAUAUAAAACAUGUUCUUUUGUCCAAACUAAGCAUAGUAUAUUAAACAAAUUACAAAAAGAUUCUAUUUUAUCAAUCGAACAUUUUUUUAGCUCAGAAGAAGUAAAAAAUAAUAAUAAUAACAAUAAUAAUAGUAAUAAUAACAAUAAUAAUAGUAAUAAUAACAAUAAUAAUAAUAAUAAUAACAAUAAUAAUAAUAAUAGUAACUAUUUUUUUAAAAAUGAUCAAACAUUUUCAAAGUUACUUGUUCAUAAAUUAUUAGUGAAAGAAUUAAAAAAAAAUAAUAUUAUUAUACCAUCAAUUAUCCAAUAUGAUUUGCUAGAUUAUUACAAUAAAAAUUCUGAAAACUUAAAGAAUAUAAUUAUAGGAGCGGAAAAUGGAAUAGGAAAAACGUUGUCUUAUAUUAUUUUUAUUAUAAAUUAUAUAUUAAAAAAAAAAUCAGAAACUCAAAAUAUUUUUGUAUUAAUUUUUCAGUAUAAUAAUUUAUUAAGUAAACAAUGCUAUGACAUUUUAAAGCUCUUUUCAAAGUAAUACAAUUAUUUUAUUUAUUUUUAUAACUUCACUUUUGUCUGUUUAUUAUAUAUAAACAGCUAUACCUUAUGUUUGUUCUAUUAUGUCAUGCAACUAUCAUACCAAAAAAAAAAAAAAAAAAAAAAAAAAAAAAAACGGAACUAACAUGUCGUGACAUUUGUCUGUAGCAUAAAUUUAAUCCGACUUGUAUACAACGCAUAUGUUUUUACUAAAGUUAUUAUUUCAUUAGGCCUUGCUAGGUCUUGUUCACCCAUACACAUAUAUAUAUAUAUAUAUAUAUAUAUAUAUGUAUGUAUAGCCUUAUAUAGCCCCAUUUCUCUUGCCUUAAUCGUUUUUUUUUUUUUUUUUUUUUUUU